GUUAAGCGACUAAGCGUACACGGUGGAUGCCCUGGCAGUCAGAGGCGAUGAAGGACGUGCUAAUCUGCGAUAAGCGUCGGUAAGGUGAUAUGAACCGUUAUAACCGGCGAUUUCCGAAUGGGGAAACCCAGUGUGAUUCGUCACACUAUCAUUAACUGAAUCCAUAGGUUAAUGAGGCGAACCGGGGGAACUGAAACAUCUAAGUACCCCGAGGAAAAGAAAUCAACCGAGAUUCCCCCAGUAGCGGCGAGCGAACGGGGAGCAGCCCAGAGCCUGAAUCAGUGUGUGUGUUAGUGGAAGCGUCUGGAAAGGCGCGCGAUACAGGGUGACAGCCCCGUACACAAAAAUGCACAUGCUGUGAGCUCGAUGAGUAGGGCGGGACACGUGGUAUCCUGUCUGAAUAUGGGGGGACCAUCCUCCAAGGCUAAAUACUCCUGACUGACCGAUAGUGAACCAGUACCGUGAGGGAAAGGCGAAAAGAACCCCGGCGAGGGGAGUGAAAAAGAACCUGAAACCGUGUACGUACAAGCAGUGGGAGCACAGAGCAAUCUGUGUGACUGCGUACCUUUUGUAUAAUGGGUCAGCGACUUAUAUUCUGUAGCAAGGUUAACCGAAUAGGGGAGCCGAAGGGAAACCGAGUC
rnacentral:rRNA from 1 species